UGCUUGAUGCCAAUGAUGUUGCUGCCGAGGAAGAAGUUGAACAAUGAAGGUAACCAAAUCUUUCGUAAAUCUUAAUUGAUGUUCAUUAUCUCAACAAGUUUGAAUAUAAUUUUCUUAUUCUAAAUGAGUAUAUUUCUGGAAUCAUAUCAUGAACACACAAAUGAUAAUCAUGGUUCAUUCAUGGUCAUGCAGGAUAUUGAUUAAGCAGUGUUGGCUUGCAAUUUUCUACUACUUCUGCAAUUUCUACUGUUAGAUGACUGGAGAACUGCUCUAGUUGCUACUAUUGGAUGCUUGAUGAAUUGCUGCAAUUGCUACUGCUGGAGUGGAGUGCUAGGCUGCUACUU
rnacentral:lncRNA from 1 species